AAUUGAACAUAAAUAUAUUAUAAUAAAGGAUUGAGCAUUACAUCUAUAUGAUAGUCAUCAAAAGUCAUUUUCAGUAAGAAUUCUUGUUGGCACGAGUAAAACUCUAAUCUAAAAACUCUAACUCUAAAAUGCUCUAAACCUUUUUAAAAAAAGAAAACAAACGCACAUACACACACGCAGAAAGUGACCAAAGUAGUUAUACCAGCACAACAUUGUAAAUCAACUAUACUCGGAUAAAAAUUUUUUAAAAAAUAAAAAAAUGAAGUAAUUACACCAAAAAGCCACAGUAGUCAUUACCAGAUUGUAGGAUUUUGAAUUUUUUCCUUUUUGUGAUUUUCCCAUAGUUACAUUUUCCAUAUUCUGCAUUUACCACAUUUACCAUUAAUUCUAUGAUUUUUUAAAAAAAGCCAUUUUGAAAUAAACGUAUAAACUGAAGCGAGUGUUCCACUGAGCAUUUCCUGCAUUCGGGGGUUAAAAAUAAAUCCUUUCAAACGGUCUUAACACCACGUUAGAGUGAAUAAAAGUAUCCUAACGGCUCUGUCUCUGCCAGGUUCUCUGUGCUCAUUUGGGCUGACGCUGGGCGUGCAAUAUUUCAGAUGCCACAGAAUCACCCACGUCCAGUUAUCACAACAGUCGUGAUAAUUACGAGCAUCCGAGAACACCAAGAUGAGCCAAGGCGGUGAGCUGACAGUUGCUCUCGUCCCCCUUGAAGGAUGCAGCAAAGUGAUCCCCAGAAGCCCUGGGAUCCACUGAUUGAAUGGCUGGUGUGAAAAAAUCGCUCCAUCACAUGAGGAAAUUUAAGUGCUAGAAUAUGAUUUACAAAAAUUAAAUUGGCAAGGAAUGUGGCAAUAAAGUUGUCUAAUGUAUUCCAGGGUGAUGGUGGAGCGAUGAUUGAAAAUAGCCCAGGGCGAGAGCCAUUUAAAAUCGGCAGCUGAGCGGUGAACAUUUUCAGGGUCUCGGGUUGGGUGGACGACCGGCUUUUUAGUUCAAAGGCUGUAGUCCAUUUCAGGGUUUGACAGGAAGAAGUAAGAGGCCAGCUGAAUUCUCGCCAGAGGAUAGAACAAAGAAUUCAGGAUCCAAUACCCAGCCCAGCUUGCAGGAAACAAUGGUUCUUUCUGCUGUUGUUUGAAAUGUGAACCAGUCACUUUUCUGUUCCCUACAGUUGUAACUAAUGAAAUCCUCUUGGCUGAGCUCUGAACAAUGGCUUCUCUUUCCUUCUCUUGGGUCACUCCUUUCUUAUGGUUCUUGUUUCCUCUUUCCUGGAGAACUCUAAGACCUGUUGUGGUGGCUGGUCACUGCCAGGGCUCAGUGCUCUUGGUUUCUUUUUUAGCCUGGCUCCUGGUGUAGGAUGAUGAUGGCAUAGGGCAGAGCUGGGAUGUGUAGCAUGCGUCAGAAGAAACCCCUGGAGCUCAAGCCACAGUUCUUUGCAGUUGUUACCGCGUGUUUUAGCCAAAGCUGACUGUUCCAGGGGAGGUAUACCUAGGGCUGGAGUGGAGACAGGUGGGUGCAGAUGCGCUCCUGGUAUGGUAUCUGGCAUGCAGGUGGUGCUCAGUAAGCGUUCCAAAGAAUCAAAAUGCCAGCUUUGUCAUCCGAAGGCUAUGAGACUGUGUCAUCCAAAGCUAUGUCAUCACUUAACUCCAUCCGUAAUCGUGGAUUCAGUGAGCGGCUCUGGCUGCCGUAAGCGCUGAUGUGUGAUGGUCCAGAAUGAAGAGUGUUAAACAACAGGACAAGCUAUAGGGUGUCCUACAGACACACGGACCCGUGCAAGUCAGCGAACACGAGGGGUAUUUCUGCCCAAUCUCUUGGGUGAGGAGCAGCCAUUUAUUUUCCAAUUACACACAAGUUGAGAUCUUCUCUCUCGUUUCUUAACAAGGCAUAAAGAAAUAGAAGUAUAACUAGGGGGAGGCAGUGGGACAGACGGGGAGUUUGGGGUGGGUAGAUGCUAACUAUUCCAUUUAGAAUAGAUAAGCAAUGAGGUCCUGCUGGACACCACAGGGAACUCGAUCCAAUCACUUGGGAUAGACCAUGAUGGAAGAGAAUAUGGGAAAAAGAAUAUAUAUAUAUUUAUAUAGAAUAGAAUAUGUAUUAAAAAGAAUAUGUAUGUGUCUAUAUAUAUAUAUGUAUGACUGGAUCACUUUGCUGUACAGCAGAAAUUGGCACAACAUUAUAAAUCAGUUAUACUUUAAUAAAAAGGAAACAAAGAAAUAUAUAACAACAUUGUAAAUCAACUCUGUUUCAAGAAAAAAUUUUAAAAUGGAGUAAGUCUGGAGGAUGUCAGGAUGCCUAGAGUGACACCUGGAUGACAUCAAGGAGCUACCUGUCCUUCACCAAGGUCCCUCCCUUCUGUGGACUUUGGCUUCUCUACCUAUAAAACGAAAGGUUUACACUAGAUCGCAUUGGAGUUCCUUUCCAGGUCUCAUGGUCUGGGAGGCGUUUCGUGGGGUCACGACGUUUUGUGGUUGGGCUCCACCAAACUGCAAUGGCAAAUUCACCUCCAUGUCUUGGGCCGGGUCAAUCUGUCUGGCCAACAUUUCUAGGUGAAAACCGAACCAUGGUUAAUUGCCCAGAUGCUUUCAAAUGUCCGUAUGUUUGGCAUGGAGACCUAGCGUGUGUGUGAUGGACUCAAUUGCUCCGUUGUUCAUCCAGACAUUUUGGCUCGGCUCAGAGGCAGCCCCUCUCUCUCCAGACCUGAAGACACUCCCACACCCACGUGAAGACCUGGGGUGAAGACCAAGAGGCAAAUAUGGAUGUUGAGCUCUUUCCUCCGCACCCAGAUUAAAGCUCACCCAGUAUCCUUGCUGAUAAGAGGGCCAAAGAUGUUUCAUGCCGUCCCUUCAACUGCCCUGCUUUAAUGUUUCUGUCCAAACAUAAGAUGCAUGAUGCUGGAUGCUGUUGGCCCCUAGAAAAUAUGGUGACUAAUGCAAUCAACAGGCAGAUUCACUUCAGCCCCGCCAUCAGGUGAGGGAAUCAAAGUAACAGAUGAUGGAACAAUCAUCUGAAAAAAAUCUCUCUCCUGGAGUCCUUCCUCUUUCUGCUUUCUCUACACUUUCCUGUGGGCGUGCCCCCAAGCGCCUUUUCUUAUGCAGAGCUCUUCUUCAUCUUCUUCAGAAAGAAAUCUGUCCUCAGAGAUGAGCCAUCAUCCUGUGCGGAGGGCGGAUGGGAAGGCACCCAAUCUGCCCAGACGCCAAGGCCCUUUGUUUCCCAGCACUGAC
rnacentral:lncRNA from 1 species